AACGCGAAGAACCUUACCUAGCCUUGACAUGCAUUGGACCGACGUUGAAAGGCGUCUUUCCCGCAAGGGACCGGUGCACAGGUGCUGCAUGGCUGUCGUCAGCUCGUGUCGUGAGAUGUUGCGUUAAGUCGCGCAACGAGCGCAACCCCUGUCCUUAGUUGCCACCAUUAAGUUGGGCACUCUAGGGAGACAAACCCUCUUUGAGGGUGGGAAGGUGGGGAUGACGUCAAGUCAGGAUGGCCCUUACGGCUAGGGCUGCACACGUGCUACAAUGCCCGGUACAGAGGGAUGCAAGACCGCGAGGUGGAGCAAAUCCUCAAAACCGGGCCCAGUUCAGAUUGUAGUCUGCAACUCGACUACAUGAAGUUGGAAUCGCUAGUAAUGGCGUAUCAGCUACGACGCCGUGAAUACGUUCCCGGGCCUUGUACACACCGAGACGUA
rnacentral:rRNA from 1 species